UACGUAGGCAGCGAGCGUUGUUCGGAGUUACUGGGCGUAGAGGGUGUGUAGGCGGUUCUUUAAGUUUGGUGUGAAAUCUCCCGGCUCAACCGGGAGGGUGCGCCGAAUACUGAGGGACUAGAGUGCGGGAGAGGAAAGUGGAAUUCCUGGUGUAGCGGUGAAAUGCGUAGAUAUCAGGAGGAACACCGGUGGUGUAGACGGCUUUCUGGACCGUAACUGACGCUGAGACACGAAAGCGUGGGUAGCAAACAGG
rnacentral:rRNA from 1 species